rnacentral:rRNA from 1 species
GGACCCGCACAAGCGGUGGAGCAUGUGGUUCAAUUCGAUGCAACGCGAAGAACCUUACCUGGCCUUGACAUCCUCGGAACUUGGCAGAGAUGCCUUGGUGCCUUCGGGAACCGAGAGACAGGUGCUGCAUGGCUGUCGUCAGCUCGUGUCGUGAGAUGUUGGGUUAAGUCCCGCAACGAGCGCAACCCUUGUCCUUAGUUGCCAGCACUUCGGGUGGGCACUCUAAGGAGACCGCCGGUGACAAACCGGAGGAAGGUGGGGAUGACGUCAAGUCAUCAUGGCCUUUAUGGCCAGGGCUACACACGUGCUACAAUGGCUGGUACAGAGGGUUGCCAACGCGCGAGCGGGAGCCAAUCCCAAAAAGCCAGUCGUAGUCCGGAUCGGAGUCUGCAACUCGACUCCGUGAAGUCGGAAUCGCUAGUAAUCGCGAAUCAGCAUUGUCGCGGUGAAUACGUUCCCGGGUCUU